GUCUACAGCCAUACCUCCCUGAAUGCUCCUGGUCUCAGAAGCUAAGCAGUCAUGUGUAGUUAGUACACAGUCAGGGGGCCACCUGGGAAUACCUGGUGUUUUACGCU
ensembl:rRNA 5S_rRNA 5S ribosomal RNA